rnacentral:lncRNA from 1 species
GAAGCAGAACUUUGAGUUGAGCCAGGCCCGGGAGCGACUGGUCACCCUAACAACAACCGUGACUGAACUCGAGGAGGACCUGGGCACGGCCCGCCGGGACCUCAUCAAGUCGGAGGAGCUGAGCAGCAAGCAUCAGCGGGACCUCCGGGAGGCUCUGGCCCAGAAGGAGGACAUGGAAGAGCGGAUUACUACACUGGAGAAGCGCUACCUGGCUGCUCAGCGUGAGGCAACAUCCAUCCAUGACCUCAAUGACAAGCUGGAGAAUGAGCUGGCCAACAAGGAGUCCCUGCACCGCCAGUGUGAGGAGAAGGCCCGACACCUGCAGGAGCUGCUGGAGGUGGCAGAGCAGAAGCUGCAGCAGACGAUGCGCAAGGCAGAGACGCUGCCAGAGGUGGAGGCUGAGCUGGCCCAGAGAAUUGCAGCCCUCACCAAGGCAAGUGGGCCAGGGGCCUGGGAUCUGCCUCUGUCCCCCAUGUUCUGAGCUCUCAGGGAGCCAGGCAGGGAAGGGAGCGCGUGGGAGGCGCACUGGGCCAGGAGCCAGAAAACUGCUUCCCGCCG